rnacentral:rRNA from 1 species
CAGCCGCCGCGGGAAUACGUAGGUGGCAAGCGUUGUCUGGAAUUAUUGGGCGUAAAGGGCUCGCAGGCGGUUUCUUAAGUCUGAUGUGAAAGCCCCCGGCUCAACCGGGGAGGGUCAUUGGAGACAGGGAAACUUGAGUGCAGAAGAGGAGAGUGGAAUUCCACGUGUAGCGGUGAAAUGCGUAGAGAUGUGGAGGAACACCAGUGGCGAAGGCGACUCUCUGGUCUGUAACUGACGCUGAGGAGCGAAAGCGUGGGGAGCGGACAGGAUUAGAUACCCCAGUAGUCCCUGUCUCUUAUAC